AGUCGAGCGGGGAAGGUAGCUUGCUACCUAACCUAGCGGCGGACGGGUGAGUAAUGCUUAGGAAUCUGCCUAUUAGUGGGGACAACAUUCCGAAAGGAAUGCUAAUACCGCAUACGCCCUACGGGGGAAAGCAGGGGAUCUUCGGACCUUGCGCUAAUAGAUGAGCCUAAGUCAGAUUAGCUAGUUGGUGGGGUAAAGGCCUACCAAGGCGACGAUCUGUAGCGGGUCUGAGAGGAUGAUCCGCCACACUGGGACUGAGACACGGCCCAGACCCCUACGGGAGGCAGCAGUGGGGAAUAUUGGACAAUGGGCGAAAGCCUGAUCCAGCCAUGCCGCGUGUGUGAAGAAGGCCUUUUGGUUGUAAAGCACUUUAAGCGAGGAGGAGGCUACUUACAUUAAUACUCUAGGAUAGUGGACGUUACUCGCAGAAUAAGCACCGGCUAACUCUGUGCCAGCAGCCGCGGUAAUACAGAGGGUGCGAGCGUUAAUCGGAUUUACUGGGCGUAAAGCGUGCGUAGGCGGCUUUUUAAGUCGGAUGUGAAAUCCCUGAGCUUAACUUAGGAAUUGCAUUCGAUACUGGGAAGCUAGAGUAUGGGAGAGGAUGGUAGAAUUCCAGGUGUAGCGGUGAAAUGCGUAGAGAUCUGGAGGAAUACCGAUGGCGAAAGCAGCCAUCUGGCCUAAUACUGACGCUGAGUACGAAAGCAUGGGGAGCAAACAGGAUUAGAUACCCUGGUAGUCCAUGCCGUAAACGAUGUCUACUAGCCGUUGGGGCCUUUGAGGCUUUAGUG
rnacentral:rRNA from 1 species